UUUAGCUAAAUAAAAAUCAAUCAAUUUACUUCCUUUAUGAAUUAGUGCUUUUCCCCAUUUUUGGCAGAAAUAUGUGGUUGUGUAACUAACGUGUCUUCUUUUUUUUCGUCACUAAAGUCGACAUAGUCAGACAACAACAUGAAGAUGGCUGAGAUAUUGUCAUUCAUUCAAAUGCUAGGCAACAGAACCGAGAGAGACUGUCACCUGGCAGGACCAUAUUGCUGCCGAGUAGACUGAUCCAACACGGACUUCCAGCUCAGUACCUCUCAGCAGGAGUCUUAUUGGACGUAAUUCAUCGUCCUAACUUCCUUCCUCUGGCCAACACAUCUAGGAUCUCAGACUUAAUGAUGGUGUCGAAGGCCCGGGGCAUGCCUAUCUCAACAGUGUGAACGUUCAAAUGUUUAAAAAACAACAACAAUAGCAAGAAAAACUAAGAAGGUUUGCUUGUAAAGAGAUAACAAUGAGGCAACAAAAAUGCGCCCUGCUCCUGCUGGUCAUGAUGGUUUUGAUAGCCAUGAUUAACAUGAAAGAUCAUGUGGGUCUUUAUUAUAACUCACUGACACAGGAAACACUUGUCAGAGAUCUCCAGGAAAAAGUACAAGAUAAAGGCAAUGGCAGCGUUACAAAUAGAUCGAAAAAUA